UACGUAGGGCGCGAGCGUUGUCCGGAAUUAUUGGGCGUAAAGAGCUCGUAGGCGGCCUGUUGCGUCCGCUGUGAAAUCCCGGGGCUUAACCCCGGGCGUGCAGUGGAUACGGGCUGGCUGGAGGCAGGCAGGGGAGAACGGAAUUCCCGGUGUAGCGGUGAAAUGCGCAGAUAUCAGGAGGAACACCGGUGGCGAAGGCGGGUCUCUGGGCAGUAACUGACGCUGAGGAGCGAAAGCGUGGGGAGCGAACAGG
rnacentral:rRNA from 1 species